AAUAGAUACCCCCGGUAGUCCACGCCCUAAACGAUGUCUACUAGUUGUUGGGUCUUAAUUGACUUAGUAACGCAGCUAACGCGUGAAGUAGACCGCCUGGGGAGUACGGUCGCAAGAUUAAAACUCAAAGGAAUUGACGGGGACCCGCACAAGCGGUGGAUGAUGUGGAUUAAUUCGAUGCAACGCGAAAAAACCUUACCUACCCUUGACAUGUCAGGAACCUCCGAGAGAUUGGAGGGUGCCCGAAAGGGAACCUGAACACAGGUGCUGCAUGGCUGUCGUCAGCUCGUGUCGUGAGAUGUUGGGUUAAGUCCCGCAACGAGCGCAACCCUUGUCAUUAGUUGCUACGAAAGGGCACUCUAAUGAGACUGCCGGUGACAAACCGGAGGAAGGUGGGGAUGACGUCAAGUCCUCAUGGCCCUUAUGGGUAGGGCUUCACACGUCAUACAAUGGUACAUACAGAGGGCCGCCAACCCGCGAAGGGGAGCUAAUCCCAGAAAGUGUAUCGUAGUCCGGAUUGUAGUCUGCAACUCGACUACAUGAAGUUG
rnacentral:rRNA from 1 species